CACGGAAAUUCAAAAGAAGAAGAAGAAGAAUGCAGCAAAGCCAGCAGGGACCACCUGGGCCGACCGAGUCUUCGGGGAGUCGGCAGGCGCUGACCUCAUCGGGGGCGACUGCUCUCGGGUCCGUUGGUACCAAAGGCACGGUGGCCGCUGUCUUCGCCCUGGUCGCCCUGGUCGCCGUGGCGUACCUGGUGCUCGGACAACACGGCUAUGGGCGAGACGGCGACCUGAACGGUGUUAACACGGCCGGCGACCGGCAAGCAACUGUCAUGAAGAACAACACGGAAGUCGUGGUCACUGAACCAGAAGAGCCUCCUCAAGGAACCGAGACGGACACUCCCGACAGUGACUGGAUUCCGGCCGCAGAAGAGGCGAAACAGUUGGUUGGUGAUCCUGUACAGGCUCCAGCUUCAAGAAAAGGUCGUCGUGCAACAUUUCACCACAGCGUAGGAGCCCGCCGAAACCGUCGUCUUACGGCGGCAAAGUCGGCUAGGCAUGCCGCUCGGAGCUCCCAUCUUCCUGCUUGGUCCCGUUCUCCGACUCGUCCCCCAACACUCGGGACGCCGAUGUAGCACAUAUGCGCCUGUUGUGCUUUCGCCGGUUGGCACUUUGUAAUAUUUAUGAAGCGUUCAGAUGGUCACGUUUGUUAAUGCGAGUUUAUUAUUUGGACGAACGCUGUUGUUGCAUAAGCCCUAGCUUUCAUGAUAAACAUGUAAUGAUGAUGAAUUUCUCACUUUGUGACGCAAGGGCCAGGUAUGCCCGAAAAGGGCCAGCGCAUAGUUAAUGAGUUGGCAAUGCAGUAAUGACUUACGACAUUUGGUUGUGACAUGACUGUAGAGGGUCCUGAAAAACAGUUGCUAUAACGUCCGUAAAAUGUCUAUGCAAUAAAAUUAUGGAAAUUAUCAAUGAAAUGCACUACAAACAAAAUAUACAGUUAGAAGGGAGGAUUACAUACAUUACACCAUGUCACUGGCGAAAAUUUUGAAGAAGCACCACUGAAUUUCCAGAGCCCUUAAAACGAAGGGCCGGGAGGCACGUACGUUACAAAACAAUCCUAUCGCAGCAGCCUCUUGCAAGAGGAUACGCUACGAAUCUCUAGUGCUGAUCACUUUCAGUAAACGAAAACCAACUCAAAAGUGUCAAAUUGAUUUGCUAUAAAAAAGUAGUUUCACCCGAAAGGCAAA